UUACCAUAAAUAAGGGUGUCAAACAACAUAUGAAUUCUUCAAAUUUGGAGAUUGUGAAAACUUUCUCGGACUUAGGAGCAGCUCCAACACUGCCAUCAUGAUCAGCUUAGAGUGGAUAAACACAAAGUAACCAAUGGAGUGCUAGAUCACUCCAACGACCGGCCAACUUGAAAGAGAAAUCUGUGUUGCCAUUUGGAAUAUGAAUUCUGCUGCCUAAUUUGGCAGUUCAAAAAUUGGUAUGCCAGAUGAUAAAGUUCAACAUUAUUUUGUUUGGCCAUUCCAAAGUUAAACCUUGAAGUUUGAAUUUGGGGGAUUGUUGGAAAUGGGGGUUAAAAACCUGUGGUAAUAUAAGGAAUUUGGCACUUCAUUUAAAGUCUAUUUUGCAAAGCUUGUUCUUCAUUGUAUUAUGCAAUGCAGGUUACAAUGCUUAACAAAAGCAAAUACUUUAAAACUCUACGAAGUCCAUUUUGCUGAAUGCCAAAAGUUAUUUUAGCGUGAGGAUGCAAUGUUGGUUGUCAAAAUCAUUCUCAUUGGACAUCUUCAAGAAAUUAAUUUGCAAGUCCUUUUUAGCCUUUUAAAAUUUGUUAGUUAAGAACUCAUGCAAGCAUCGCCUGUUCCUUACUGAUGUAGAACCUUAUUUAGCCUUACUUAAGAACAGCUCCAAAUGAGGACAAACUGCGAAUUCUGCCAAUUGUUGAGGUAAGUGUAACUAAUGGGAUUUAUUAGGUUGGAGGACAAGAAAUUCUUGCAAUGAGAGUUGUGUCGAAUGACCUCUGUCCUCAUUUGGGCUAUGUGUAACUUCCAAAAUAGGAUGCCCAUAUCCCUCUGAUUAUCUUAGUGGGUGAAUUUGAAUUUUGAAGACAUUGGUUGGUGUUUGUUUCGACGAACAAAUUGGAAGAGUAUGGAUUCAAGGGAUGUUUAUGGAGGGGAGCAAUAUGGUAGCUUGUAUUGGAGACUAGAAAUCGAUUCUCUAAUAUCCCCCUCUCUGAAGAUUUGUUUACUGAAGGAGAGGAUAAAAGUUCACGUGUCUCAAAUGUACCUGUCCAUUGCUGCAAAUUUGAAAGCUUUGACUAUGGAGGGAUAUGCAUGAAUAUAUGUCCAAGUUGCGUUGCCCGAUGCUAGGGGUUGAAGUGCAAGCACACUUGGUUAGCUUUCUCUGCUUAUAUCACCGAAAGCAGUGAUUGGUCUCUUACCUGUAAUUUUUACUCUAUUUGUUGUUGGCAAAGUUUUCAGAGACGAAAACGUUGGGCAAGGCUGUUGACGUCUCAUGAGGCAAAGCGUUGAUUCGAAUAUUUCUGUAUACUUUCCACAUGUUCCUCUCUGCCUUUCCAUUGCAAUUCGUGUCAAUAUUUGUGUGAAUGAAGAAUUCAUGUUGGUAUUAAGCAUCCAAUAUCAUGCGCCUCCUGUGUUUUUCUGUGCUA